GCGGGCCUCCGCGUCCGCGGCGGCAUCCGGGCUCCCGGUGUGUCGCGCGUCUGGCGGGGGCGUCCCUGCGCGCGCACUGAGCACUGGGGGACUGGGGACGGGGUGGCGCGGUGUGCAGAGACCCCAGGCAGAGGCUGGGAGGUCCUGGGACCCCGGCUGGGGUGCGCGCCUCCAGGGCCAGCACCUCACAGUGGUCCCUAGGCCUGGCCUGGCCUUGCAGGGCGCUGGCUGCAUCGUGUGUGUGUGUGUCGGUGUCUGUCUGAUGGGGUGUCUUCAGGUCUCCUGUCUGUGUGUCGGUCUGUCUGGCCACCGGCCUGUUCUUGUAGCGCUGUGCGCCCGCGCGGGGAGUCGCCCAGUUUGUUCACGUCCACGUCAAAGGGAGGCGGGAGCAGCUGCCACUGGUUUUUUCCAGGAUGUGUAAAGGAAGUUGCCAUUGUGUUCUUUUCUAAGCCCAGAUCUCAACUCUGGGCGUCUCCAGGUGAAGCCUCUUUUGACUCUGUGCUCCCCAGCUGGUCUGACUGGGACGGGGCUGCCAGGGAGAACAGGACGCACCUGGGUGUGACCUGCCCGCACUCUGCUUCCAUGGUUUUGGAAGGCUUGCUUCUGUUUGCUGCUGUCAGAAAGAAAAACAGAAGCCAAGGGCCUUCCUGUGUAUCCCCAGCUGUCUUGGAACUGAGAGGUCUGCCUACCUCUGCCUCCUGAGUACAAGUGCCAGGAUUAAAGGCCUUCUGUGUUUCCCUCUUCAGAAGAAGGGGCUCCAUCUUCUCUCCCUUGAGUUCGUGCUGGACUGAUGAUCAGCUUUUGACUGACGUGAUGAUGGUCACCACUUCAGAGCCAGACAGUGGAGGCUCUGUGCCUUCCUCUUGACGCUCCCAGUAGAAUUACUCCCUGGAAGGGAGGCCGGCUGCCGUGAUGGGAAGAUACUCAGGCAGCCCCAAGACAGCAUCCAUGGGGCACGGAUUGGAGGCCUCCUGACAGAAGCCACGGACCUUUCUUUUUCCUCUUUCUUUCUUUUUUUCUAUUUUUUUUAAAUAAAAUAAACCAUGUGUACUUUGUCCUGUU